rnacentral:tRNA from 1 species
AGUUAAUGAGCUUGACCAAAGCCUUUGCUUUGAAAGCAUAUCAAAGAAGUAAAAUCUUCUAUUAACUU